GCUAUUGUGGUGUAGUGGUUUGAGCACUGGACUAUGACUCUAGAGACCAAGGUUCAAAUCCUGACUCAGCC